rnacentral:rRNA from 1 species
AGGACGAACGCUGGCGGCGUGCCUAACACAUGCAAGUCGAACGCGCUCCAUUCGGUAGCAAUACUGAUGAAGAGUGAGUGGCGAACGGGUGAGUAGCACGUGAGCAACCUGCCCCGAAGACUGGGACAACACCGGGAAACCGGUGCUAAUACCGGAUACCCUUAUCGGACCGCAUGAUUCGAUAAGGAAAUGGAUUCCGCUUCGGGAGGGGCUCGCGGCCUAUCAGCUUGUUGGUGGGGUAAUGGCCUACCAAGGCUUCGACGGGUAGCUGGUCUGAGAGGACGAUCAGCCACACUGGGACUGAGACACGGCCCAGACUCCUACGGGAGGCAGCAGUGGGGAAUCUUGCGCAAUGGGCGAAAGCCUGACGCAGCAACGCCGCGUGGAGGACGAAUGCUUUCUGAGUUGUAAACUCCUUUCAGCAGGGACGAUAGUGACGGUACCUGCAGAAGAAGCACCGGCCAACUACGCGCCAGCAGCCG